GACGAACGCUGGCGGCGUGCUUAACACAUGCAAGUCGAACGGAAAGGCCCUGCUUUUGUGGGGUGCUCGAGUGGCGAACGGGUGAGUAACACGUGAGUAAACUGCCCUUGACUUUGGGAUAACUUCAGGAAACUGGGGCUAAUACCGGAUAGGAGCUCCUGCUGCAUGGUGGGGGUUGGAAAGAUUCGGCGGUUGGGGAUGGACUCGCGGCUUAUCAGCUUGUUGGUGGGGUAGUGGCUUACCAAGGCUUUGACGGGUAGCCGGCCUGAGAGGGUGACCGGCCACAUUGGGACUGAGAUACGGCCCAGACUCCUACGGGAGGCAGCAGUGGGGAAUAUUGCACAAUGGGCGGAAGCCUGAUGCAGCAACGCCGCGUGCGGGAUGACGGCCUUCGGGUUGUAAACCGCUUUCGCCUGUGACGAAGCGUGAGUGACGGUAAUGGGUAAAGAAGCACCGGCUAACUACGUG
rnacentral:rRNA from 1 species